rnacentral:lncRNA from 1 species
AAGGUUCGAACUCAAACUUUUAUUUAGGUUUCAAGCAAACGCCAAGUAAUACCGUAAUUUAAAUUAUUAGAACUUCUCGAAAAUAGCUUUAGGUCCCAUCAGUUGGUGUAUGCAUUUGCUUGAGAUAAUGAUGAGAUCUAGCUAGUGCACAUAUAUGAUGCAUACUCAAUUCAAAGAACAUACAUAAGUUACAAAUCAACGUACUUGUAUAAAUAACAAAGAGAAAUAAGUAAAUAGUAUGUAUGCAUUUAUUUCAUUAAUUAGUUGCUUGACCAUGUCCUGGAGAAGAUAUGUUGAGUUACACACAUAUAGAAAGACAGAACAUGUAGUACAACCAGCUGGAUAUGGGAGUCAUCAUUAGAGCAAACUCUUGCAACCAUAUAGAUCCAUCGAGAGAAAGAGGACAUCAACUCAUCAUUAUAUAUUCUCUCUUGUAGCAAUUUCCAUGCCAUGAAACUCUUAUCUUUGGAUCCAAGGUAUUUCAAGAGGAGAUUUUAUAGUACAUAUAUAAGCCAAUACCUCAAUCCUCAUGAGGGAGAGAGAGAGAGGUAUAUUAAUAGCGAGAGUGAAAGGGGGAGAGAGAUGGAGGGAUCACGGGGAGAGAGAGAUGGAGAGAGAGAGAGAGAGAGAGAGAGAUGGAGCUAGGGAGAGAGAGGGAGGGAGGGGGGAGAGAGAGAGCUGGGAGAGACAGAGAGGGAGAGGGAGAGAUCAGUAUGUAGCAAACUGAAUAUAAGUAGGUAUAUAAUAUGUAUAAUCUCUAUAACAAUCAUCACUUCGGACCAUUAAGCUCACAUUCCCUGGAUAAAGAGAAGAAGAAAGUACUAGUACUGUAACUUGCUGUAAGUACCUUUUGGAGGAACUUUUGGAACUAGGGUUUCCAUUCUUCCUUUACUACAUCUUCAAUAUUGAAAGCAUCUAGUUCAUGUAUGGAUCUCCAACAGAUCGAGUCUCUCUAUUUUCCAUCUUUUUCGUUUUCUGAGAUUUGAAGGGGGUACCGGUGGUGAUGGUGUUAGGUGUUUAAAGAUGGUGAUGAUGAUCAUGUUGGGGAGAUCGAUGAUAUAUAAAAGGUGAGAGAGUGAGGGAGGAUUGUAAUUCACCCGGUGCCCUCCGGAUAGGUAACAAUGUUACAUGAUUAAUGCUGGCCAACCCGGCCGGUUAAUUUGUUUGGUUUGAGGAUCAAUUCAAUUUAAUUUAUUUUCUCCUUUCAAAAAAAAAAUUAAUUUAUUUUCAUUUCUAAUUACUAAUAAUUAUACAAUGUUUUAAGUUUAUCG